rnacentral:tRNA from 1 species
UAUACCCUAGUAUAUGAUGUACUUAAAUUUUUGAUAUUUAAAGAAUCAGUUUAAUUCUGAUGAGUAUAA